GAUGAACGCUGGCGGCGUGCCUAAUACAUGCAAGUCGAGCGAACAGACGAGGAGCUUGCUCCUCUGACGUUAGCGGCGGACGGGUGAGUAACACGUGGAUAACCUACCUAUAAGACUGGGAUAACUUCGGGAAACCGGAGCUAAUACCGGAUAAUAUAUUGAACCGCAUGGUGCAAUAGUGAAAGACGGUUUUGCUGUCACUUAUAGAUGGAUCCGGGCCGCGUUAGCUGGUUGGUAAGGUAACGGCUUACCAAGGCGACGAUGCGUAGCCGACCUGAGAGGGUGUUCGGCCACACUGGAGCUGAGAGGCGGUCCAGGCACUUACGGGAGGCAGCGGUUGGGAAUCUUCCGCAAUGGGCGAAAGCCUGACGGAGCAACGCCGCGUGAGUGAUGAAGGUCUGCGGAUCGUAAAACUCUGUUAUUGGGGAAGAACAAAUGUGUAAGUAACUAUGCGCGUCUGGACGGUACCUAUUCAGAAAGCCACGGCUACCUACGU
rnacentral:rRNA from 1 species